CCCUUAGAUGUCCUGGGCCGCACGCGCGUUACACUGAUGCAUUCAACGAGCUUAUAACCUUGGCCGAGAGGCCUGGCAAUCUUGUUAACGUGCAUCGUGAUAGGGAUAGAUUAUUGAAAUUAUUAAUCUUGAACGAGGAAUUCCUAGUAAACGCAGAUCAUCAAUCUGCAUUGAUUACGUCCCUGCCCUUUGUACACACCGCCCGUCGCACCUACCGAUUGGAUGGUCCGGUGAAGCCUCGGGAUUGUGGUUCUUGCCGCUUUAUUGUGGCGUGACCGCGAGAACUUGUCUAAACCUUAUCAUCUAGAGGAAGGUGAAGUCGUAACA
rnacentral:rRNA from 1 species